CCUACGGGAGGCUGCAGUAGGGAAUAUUGCUCAAUGGGGGAAACCCUGAAGCAGCAACGCUGCGUGGAGGAUGAAGGUCUUCGGAUUGUAAACUCCUUUUGUUAGAGAAGAUAAUGACGGUAUCUAACGAAUAAGCACCGGCGAACUCCGUGCCAGCAGCCGCGGUAAUACGGAGGGUGCAAGCGUUACUCGGAAGCACUGGGCGUAAAGAGCGCGUAGGCGGGAUAGCAAGUCAGAUGUGAAAUCCUAUGGCUUAACCAUAGAACUGCAUUUGAAACUGGUAUUCUAGAGUGUGGGAGAGGUAGGUGGAAUUCUUGGUGUAGGGGUAAAAUCCGUAGAGAUCAAGAGGAAUACUCAUUGCGAAGGCGACCUGCUAGAACAUAACUGACGCUGAUGCGCGAAAGCGUGGGGAGCAAACAGGAUUAGAUACCCUUGUAGUC
rnacentral:rRNA from 1 species